GCGGGUGUAGCUGAGUUGGUUAGAGCGCCGGCCUGUCACGCCGGAGGUCGCGGGUUCGAGCCCCGUCACUCGCGCCA
rnacentral:tRNA from 1 species